AUCAAUAGAAACAUAGAAUAUGCAAUAUUCUACAAAAACAAACCAGAUAUCAGAGCGAAUGGAUCCUGCAGCGAAUCUGCUUAUGUGAAUGCCCAGCCCAUUACCUCCAAUAGAGCGCUCUCCAUUUGCAUACCAUAAUUAAAUGAUAUACCUGGGCAAUCAAUUAAAGUAACACCUUCCAACCUGCAUAACGAUGCAUACUACAGAUACAAUAAUAAAUGGAUGAAUACAUUUCCCAC